rnacentral:rRNA from 1 species
CCUACGGGUGGCAGCAGUGAGGAAUAUUGGUCAAUGGGCGGGAGCCUGAACCAGCCAAGUCGCGUGAGGGAAGACGGUCCUAUGGCUUGUACACCUCUUUAGGCGGGGAGCAAUGCCGGGCACGUGUGCCCGGAGGGAGAGUACCCGCAGAAUAAGCAUCAGCUAACUCCGUGACAGCAGCCGCGGUUAUACGGAGGAUGCGAGCGUGAUCCGUAUUUAUUGGGUUUAAAGGGUGCGUGGGCGGAUUUGUAAGUCAGCGGUAAAAUGUACGGGCUCAAACCGGGCCGGCCGUUGAAACUGGGGAUCUUGAGUGGGAGAGAAGUAUGCGGAAUGCGUGGGGUAGCGGUGAAAUGCAUAGAUAUCACGCAGAACUCCGAUUGCGAAGGCAGCAUACCGGCGCCCGACUGACGCUGAGGCACGAAAGCGUGGGGAUCGAACAGGAUUAGAUACCCGGGUAGUC